rnacentral:rRNA from 1 species
GACGAACGCUGGCGGCGUGCUUAACACAUGCAAGUCGAACGGAAAGGCCCUGCUUUUGUGGGGUGCUCGAGUGGCGAACGGGUGAGUAACACGUGAGUACCCUGCCCUUGCCUUUGGGAUAACUUCAGGCAACUGGGGCUAAUACCGGCUAGGAGCUCCUGCUGCAUGGUGGGGGUUGGAAAGUUUCGGCGGUUGGGGUUGGACUCGCGGCUUAUCAGCUUGUUGGUGGGGUAGUGGCUUACCAAGGCUUUGACGGGUAGCCGGGCUGAGAGGGUGACCGGCCACAUUGGGACGGAGAUACGGCACAGACUCCUACGGGAGGCAGCAGUGGAGAAGAUUGCACAAUGGGCGGAAGCCUGAUGCAGCAACGCCGCGUGCGGGAUGACGGCCUGCGGGUUGUAAACCGCUUUCGCCUGUGACGAGGCGUGAGUGACGGUAAUGGGUAAAGAAGCACCGGCUAACUACGUG